UUUUUUUUUUUUUUGUAUUAAAACGGGGUUAUGAAAACCCAAGAAACAAAGACCUAAAUACAAAUUAAACGGGAUAAGGUAGCCCCUGUUUCAUCAUCACUUAUGAUACUAACUAAAUCUAAAGGAGGAUUUGGAUGGGAGGCCAAUUUCUUUCCUCCGUUGAGUCCCUGAAUAACCGCCGCAACAUCUACUUCCACUACCACUUUUCUGAAGCCCAUCGUCCAUGCAAGCUCUAAUCCCUUAACCACUCCCCAUAAUUCUGCUGUGAACGCCGUCGCUUCUCCAAUUCGAUGCGAAAAACCAGCGAUCCACUGUCCUUUAUUAUUCCUCAGAAGAUCGCCACAUCCACUUCUGCCUGGGUUUAUCUGUGCAGCCCCGUCUGAGUUCAACUUCACCCAUCCCUCUGGAGGCGGCUUCCAAUUGAUAUGCUUCUCUAUUCUCCUUUCUUGGCGGCCAACCUGGAUCGGCAACAACAUUAAAACAGUGCACAAUGGGCCCAGCCCGAACCUUUGACUUGAAGAGCAAAUUGUUGAUAAAGCAUGGCAACAAGGGAAAAAAAUAGUGGCCUUCUGACGUCAAGAGAGUGCUCAACGUAACAUAAAAGAAAAGAAAAGAAAAGAAAUAAGAAGAAGCAUCCAUGAUCCAUGUGCUGAGAUGUAAACACUAAUCAAUCACAGUAACGAAGAAAAGCUACGCAACAAGCACGCAAAGAUUUGACAAUGACACUACGACCACAACAACCAAUUCUUUUGCUCAAAUAUCACUCACUAUGCGCAUCUUGUUAGAAUGUUAGAACAUAUAGCAUAUAUAAUGAAAUUAAGUUCUUUACAUACAUGUGUUUUAUGUUUAUAUAAAAAAUCAAAAGAAAAUUAUUUUCAUGUUAAUUGAAGAAAUUAAUUAAAAGUCAUUUUAGAUACUAACAAAUUUGUGAUCAAAUGAUAACUGCAAUUCAAUAUGAUCACUGCCAGAUUAUAUAUAUGUACUAAUUAAAUAACAUUUAUGUUCAUUAUUUUGAAUAUUAUUUU